UAAUCCCUACUCACAUUUCAGUACUAUUCUCAGCAUUAAAAAGUGAAGUUGUCAGGAAUCCUGCCUGAUUCUCCUUGUGUUCCGUUUUAGUUUUGUUUAUUUUUUAUUUUCUAGUGUUUAUUUAUUUUUAUUUUCAGUUUACUUGUUUUCGCUUGCAGUUGUGUUUUCUGUGUUCGUGUGCUUGGGUGUGCGUUUGUUAUUGUUUUUCCCCCUUAGGUUCCUGGUUCCUGUCCACGCCCACGCCCCGCCCCAGUUCCACCGGUUUCCGCAUCUGCAAUCAAACCUCCACUUACCUUCCUCACCUGCAUCCCAUCUUCACUCAUUGGCGUUGCUAUUUAGUUUCUGUGUGCACCUUUUUUCUUUGCCAGAUCGUUUUUCUGAUUUUUCGAAUAGCUUUUCCAGCCUUGUUUAGUGUUUUUGUCCUUCCUGGUUUUUCGACUUUUGCUUGUUUGUUUCCGACCUCGAGUUUAGCCUGCCUGUGUUAUUCCUUGCCUUGGUAUUUUUGUCCCUUGCCUGUUUAAUCGACCUGCCCCCCGGUUCCCGUUUUUGUGCCUCUGCCCUGUCUAUUUGAUUUCCCGGAUUUUGACCCCUGCCUGUACUUGAUUAAGAGACUGCUUCUGAUUCUGUGCUUCGCAAAAUAAAUCGCAUCUUCUACUAACUCUGGUCCGCUUCUGAGUCCCACCCCAGACCCUGACAGAAGUUAAAACAUCACUAGUUAAAAGUUUUCCUUAUGUUUUGGCUUGCGCGCCAUUAUGCUGUUUGCUAAGGGAGCAUAACAUGCUGCUACAAAACAUAGCUAAGAGGCAGCUUUUGAUUAGUCCGUCUCUAUUGAUUCAAGUGUGUGAUUGGAUUGGUAAAUGGUAAAUGGACUGCAUUUAUAUAGCACUUUUACCCAAAACGCUUUACAAUUGAUGCCUCUCAUUCACCUAUUCACACACACACUCACACACCAAUGGUGAAAGGCUGCCAUGCAAGGUACCAGUCAACUCAUUGGGAGCAAUUGGGGGUUUGGUGUCUUGCUCAGGGACACUUUGGAGUAGGCACUAUACUACACCCCCCUCUCCUUAGGCUGACACCCACUCCCCUGUAGCACGAACAAUCUUUUUAUGUCCAACAUGUCUUAAUCAACUCAAAUGUAAACUCCCCCACAGCAUACACUAACAUUACUAUGCUUAAGAUCUUCUUUACUUAAAUCAACAUCUGUCAUGCUGUAACACAUAUCAACAACUUAUUUUGUUUUUUGUUUUUACAAACAACCCCUUAUCUCACAAAGUCCUGAAGAUGCCUGGGAAGGAUUCUCUCUCUCAGAACGUCUGACAACAGUCUCUGGUCCCUGGCGCUGCGUUGCAGGACAGCAGGUUAGUGUCGGAAUUCCGAGGAAAGGCAGUGCCCACAGCGCCCACAGCGCCCACCCUGGUGGGGACCACUAAACUCAAGGGUCAUGGGGGGCUGGAGCCUAUUCCAGCAUGCAUUGGGCAAGAGGCAGGAAUACACUCUGGACUCAAUUCAUCACAGGCCACACACCUUUCUCUCCAAUUAGCCUAACCUGAAUGUCUUUGGAUUGGGGGAGGAAGACACAGACAUGGGGAGAAUAUGUAAGCUCCACACAGAGAGACCCUGGCUGGGACUCGAACCUGGGGUUUUCUUGCUGAGGUGACAGUGCUAUCUACCACACACCUUUCCGAAACACACCUUUCCGAAACCUAAAAGCAUGGAUCUGAUCAACUGGUCUCUCAACGCAAUUGAUAGUAUUUUCUCGACGAGAAGAACGGGUCAGGGAGAGCCCUCUUGCCCUGACGGAACGUUUGCAGCUGGAUACACGAUGGACUCCUGGAAGGAGUGGAGGGUCGUGUGCCUGUCGAUCCUUUCCGUUGAGGAUGUUGAAGACGUUUACUUGAUUGGAAUUAUGAUAACAGUUUGGAGCUGGCAGCAUCCUGAUUUAUUGCAAAAUGCCAAAGGCGUUGGCAGCACUAAUUGGGAAGCUGCCCGCCAUUGAGGGAACGGGCAGGGCUGUCAACACUCAGCCUCAAGCGAUUUGCGAGCUCAAUCGCAAACUGGAUGCGAUUGGAUCGCAAAUUCGCAUGACGGAUACCAACUUGGAGAAGUUGUCGGUUCGGCUCACUGAAAUGGGCCACUAAUUCGGAUGAUUGGAACAAUGCUGAGAGAACCACAGGACUAAAGGUAGACGAAAAAUGCAGAAGUCUGCCUGAACCCAAAACAAUCCUUAUCCUCAUUGGCUCCCCCACAUCGGCCUUGGAAGGCUGAUAUCUCUCCACUCUCCUGGAUUGUUAUGCAGACAGAUGCUCGGCCCUGCCCCCACCUCCCUGCUCCUAUGGAACUUUGUCUCUGGAUCAGGACUCUUCAAGGUCGUCUCCACGGCAACGGCCGUGUCCUCGUCAUCAGUAUCAGACGGCAGAGACAAUGUUGAGACUGUGGUGGAGAUGAAGUCCAUGGACUUACACACACACGCACAUGAAGAUAACACACACACCACCUCCUACUCAACGCCUUCUUGGCUCCCACCCCCCCUCCCUCCCCCGUUACAGUGCAGUCUGCUGAGGGUUGAUGCGAUGCGCCUGAGCGGUUGCGCGCUCCCCCCAGUGUCUGUGCUGCGACACUUCCCCUCCCCGACACCCUACCCCCUACCACAUGUGCAAGUCUUCGAGUUUUGUUGUAAUGUUUGUAAUGUUUUUAUGAUGUUGCUAUGUGCUGAGGUUUUUCUUCGUUUCAAUGAAACGAGUGCCCUCUCGUUUCAUUGAAAGGACUGUUUUUUUUUUCCUCCUCCUUCCUCCUGUUCUCUCAUUUCUCAUCUAAUAAGUUGGCGCCGCAGAUGGCUGCCUCGGUGUGUUGACUCAAAUUCCUCGUAUGUGUAAACGUACUUAGCAAUAAAAUACGAUUCUGAUUCUAGUUUGAAUACAUACAGAUAUGUUUCCCUUUAACCAACAUAUUACAUUUAAAAUAUCAUUUAUGAUCCAAAACAUGCAUUCAACAACACUAUUUCAAAAUUCUGUACAGAAUUCUGUACAAAUGUGGAUUUGAAACCAAACAGGUUGACUUUGUUUGCACAUUUAAUGUAAUCUCGCAGAAAAAUUGAAUACACUUGGCCCAAAGUUAGUGCAAAGGGAGUGCAUAUUUAUCAAUUAAGUCAUUUUCAAUGUUUUAUUUUUUAUUUCAUUC